GACGACCGCUGGCGGCGUGAUUAACACAUGCAAGUCGAGCGGAGCGGCGAACGGGUGAGUAACGCGUGUGUAACUUCCCCCCUCUCUGGGAUAACAGUUGGAAACGGAUGCUAAUACCGGUUAGUGGGGGAUGACUCGCGUCCUAACGGCUUGUUGGUGGGGUAGUGGCCUACCAAGGCGACGACUGGUUGCCGGCCUGAGAGGGCGACCGGCUACAUUGGGCUGAGAUACUGCCUAAACUCCUACGUGAGGCAGCAUUGGUGAAUAUUGCACAAUGGGGGAAACCCGGAUGCAGCAACGCCGCGUGAGGGAUGACGGCCUUCUGGUUGUAGACCGCUUUCAGACAUGACGCGGUAGUGGCAGAAGAAGCACCGGCUAACUACGUGCCAGCAGCCUCGGUAAUAC
rnacentral:rRNA from 1 species